rnacentral:rRNA from 1 species
UACGAAGGGGGCGAGCGUUGUUCGGAUUUACUGGGCGUAAAGGGCGCGCAGGCGGCUCAUUUUGUCAGGCGUGAAAGCCCCGGGCUUAACCUGGGACUGCGUUUGAUACGGAUGGGCUAGAGUUCGGGAGAGGAGAGUGGAAUUCCCAGUGUAGAGGUGAAAUUCGUAGAUAUUGGGAAGAACACCGGUGGCGAAGGCGGCUCUCUGGACCGAGACUGACGCUGAGGCGCGAAAGCGUGGGGGAGCGAACAGG